CUCCUCCGGUGAAAUCCCCACCACCACCAUAUUAUUACCACUCACCACCCCCACCCGUCAAAUCUCCUCCACCUCCAUAUUAUUACCACUCACCACCUCCUCCGGUGAAAUCUCCACCACCACCAUAUUAUUACCACUCACCUCCUCCUCCGGUGAAAUCUCCACCACCACCAUAUUACUACCAUUCACCUCCCCCUCCAGUCAAAUCUCCACCACCACCAUAUUACUACCAUUCACCUCCCCCUCCAGUGAAAUCCCCACCACCACCAUAUUACUACCAUUCACCACCUCCUCCAGUGAAAUCUCCACCACCACCAUACUACUACAACUCUCCACCACCACCAGUAAAAUCUCCCCCACCUCCCGUCUACAUCUACGCUUCUCCCCCACCUCCUACCCAUUACUAGGCUCGUCAAAUUCAACCAAGUUUCCCCAUUAUUCAAGUAAGUCCCAAGGCUCCAAUAUUCUAAGUAUGCUCCAUAUC
rnacentral:lncRNA from 1 species